GUCAUACUGGAACGGAUCCGACGUCAGGGACGAAGCCUAGGGGCACGAACCGGAUUAGAUACCCCGGGUAGUCCUAGGUGUAAACGCUGUGGAUUUGGUGUGUGGGGUCCGUCAAGGGCCCCAUGUGCCGGAGUGAAGAUGUUAAAUCCACUGCCUGGGGAGUACGGUCGCAGGGCUGAAACUUAAAGGAAUUGGCGGGGGAGCACUGCAACGGGAGGAGCGUGCGGUUUAAUUGGAUUCAACGCCGGAAAACUCACCAAGGCCGACUGUUAAAUGAAGAUCAGCGUAAUGAGCUUAUCGGAUUAUCAGAGAGGUGGUGCAUGGCCGUCGUCAGUUCGUACUGUAAAGCGUUCUGUUAAGUCAGAUAACGAACGAGACCCGCAUCUCUAUUUGCCACCCUCAUGUCCGCAUGAGGCGCACCAUAGAGAGACCGCUGGUGUGAAACCAGAGGAAGGCGCGGGCAACGACAGGUCAGUAUGCCCCGAAUGUCUUGGGCUACACGCGCGCUACAAAGGACAGGACAAUGGGAGGCUACACCGAGAGGUGACGCUACCCCGAAACCUGUUCAUAGUUCGGAUCGAGGGCUGUAACUCGCCCUCGUGAAGCUGGAUUCCGUAGUAAUCGUGUUUCAAUAUAGCACGGUGAAUA
rnacentral:rRNA from 1 species